AGAGUUUGAUCCUGGCUCAGGAUGAACGCUGGCGGUAUGCUUAACACAUGCAAGUCGAACGGAAUCCUUAGGGAUUUAGUGGCGGACGGGUGAGUAACGCGUGAGAAUCUGGCUUCAGGUCGGGGACAACAGUUGGAAACGACUGCUAAUACCGGAUAUGCCGAGAGGUAAAAGGUUAACUGCCUGGAGAUGAGCUCGCGUCUGAUUAGCUAGUUGGUGGGGUAAGAGCCUACCAAGGCGACGAUCAGUAGCUGGUCUGAGAGGAUGAUCAGCCACACUGGGACUGAGACACGGCCCAGACUCCUACGGGAGGCAGCAGUGGGGAAUUUUCCGCAAUGGGCGAAAGCCUGACGGAGCAAUACCGCGUGAGGGAGGAAGGCUCUUGGGUCGUAAACCUCUUUUCUCAGGGAAGAAAAAAUGACGGUACCUGAGGAAUAAGCAUCGGCUAACUCCGUGCCAGCAGCCGCGGUAAUACGGAGGAUGCAAGCGUUAUCCGGAAUGAUUGGGCGUAAAGGGUCCGCAGGUGGCUAUGUAAGUCUGCUGUUAAAGAGUCAUGCUUAACAUGAUAAGAGCAGUGGAAACUACAUAGCUAGAGUGCGUUCGGGGCAGAGGGAAUUCCUGGUGUAGCGGUGAAAUGCGUAGAUAUCAGGAAGAACACCGGUGGCGAAGGCGCUCUGCUAGGCCGCAACUGACACUGAGGGACGAAAGCUAGGGGAGCGAAUGGGAUUAGAUACCCCAGUAGUCCUAGCCGUAAACGAUGGAUACUAGGCGUGGCUUGUAUCGACCCGAGCCGUGCCGAAGC
rnacentral:rRNA from 1 species